rnacentral:RNase_P_RNA from 1 species
CAGGCAGGCCAGGUGGUCGCUUCCGCUAGUCGGAAGAGGAAAGUCCGGGCUUCGCAGAGCAGGGCGGUCGGUAACACCGACCCACCGCAAGGUGAGGGAAAGUGCCACAGAGAGCAGACCGCCGAACGGCUGCCGAAAUCGGCAGUGCGUGGCAAGGGUGAAACGGUGAGGUAAGAGCUCACCAGCGGCCGAGGCGACUCGGCCGGCUUGGUAAACCCCGCCCGAAGCAAGGUCAAACAGGCGGAAAUGCAGCUCGCUCCGGCAAGACUGCAUGCGAGGUGGCUCGCCUCGCCAUCGACCGCCGGGUAGACCGCUCGAGCCGGCAAGCAAUUGUCGGCCUAGAUAAAUGACCACCCGCCGCGCCGUGGGGACAAGCGCCCGGCGGCGCAGCGACAGAACCCGGCUUAUCGGCCUGCCUGUCUU